UAUGUUCACAGCAAAAAAGGCAGAUUGAAAAUAGUAUUUAAUGAGAAAAUAUGCGGAUUCAAAUGGGCUGAAAUCUUUGAGGAACCGUUUUGUCUGAAGUACGAGCCGAUAGUAAAAUCUACCCGAGUGUUCGUGAAUCCCGUCCGUUGCAGCAGCGAAAAGAGGACUACUUAGAGGCUCUACACUACCAUUCUAAUAACAUUCCUUCACGUCUAUAUAUAUGGAUGCUAGCAGAAAGUCGACAAGUUCACAGUUUACAACAAAAAGCGAACACAACCACACAAGCGACAAACAGAAAGCGACAUAAAACACUGCCAAGGUAAAACCAACCAAGGACUUCUACCCAAGGGCCAUGAUUGAUGCUGAAGGCUGGGAGGCAUGAGAAUAGGCAAAUGUCUUAAAGAUAAUAAAGUAGGGGAUUUCUUACUUUGA